UACGAGUGCCCCAAGCGUUAUCCGGAAUUAUUGGGCGUAAAGGGUGCGUAGGUGGUCCUGUUAGUCUUUUGUUAAAUCCUUCGGCUUAACCGGGGAAAGGCAGGAGAUACGGCAGAACUAGAGGACGUGAGAGGUCUAUGGAACUCAUGGUGUAGGGGUGAAAUCCGUUGAUAUCAUGGGGAACACCAAAAGCGAAGGCAAUAGACUGGCGCGUUCCUGACACUCAAGCACGAAAGCGUGGGUAGCGAACGGG
rnacentral:rRNA from 1 species